rnacentral:rRNA from 1 species
GAUGAACGCUGGCGGCGUGCCUAAUACAUGCAAGUCGAGCGAACAGACGAGGAGCUUGCUCCGCUGACGUUAGCGGCGGACGGGUGAGUAACACGUGGAUAACCUACCUAUAAGACUGGGAUAACUUCGGGAAACCGGAGCUAAUACCGGAUAAUAUAUUGAACCGCAUGGUUCAAUAGUGAAAGACGGUGUUGCUGGCACGUAUAGAUGGAUCCGCGCCGCAUUAGCUAGUUGGGAAGGUAACGGCUUACCAAGGCGACGAGGCGUAGCCGACCUGAGAGGGUGAUCGGCCACCCUGGAACUGAGCCACGGUCCAGGCUCCUACGGGAGGCCGCAGUAGGGAAUCUUCCGCAAAGGGCGAAAGCCUGGCGGAGCAACGCCGCGUGAGUGAUGAAGGUCUUCGGAUCGUAAAACUCUGUUAUUAGGGAAGAACAAAUGUGUAAGUAACUAUGCACGUCUUGACGGUACCUAAUCAGAAAGCCACGGCUAACUACGUG